rnacentral:tRNA from 1 species
GUGUCUCUGGCCGAGAGGCAAAGGCAUCGGGCUUCCACCCCGAAUAGGCGGGUUCAAUUCCCGCGAGACACUUCA